GGAAUAAUCCACAGAUUUCUAGAACAAGACAAAAAUAAUAUGUUAGGACUCUUGUCAAAUUGUCAAGGACAUGAAUUUCGAACAAAGGGAAUCCUCAAUACACUCUUCUAUCACUGAAGAGAACUAGAAAGUCACUCAAAAGGUGAUGUAAUAUCAACUAGAAUGGUUGUUCCCAAAAACAAGAAGACUAAAAAGUCUUGAAACAAGACUAAGACUAGAAAGGCGUUGACAAGAG
rnacentral:lncRNA from 1 species